UCUGUAGAGAGAUCUGAGUACAAGUUUUUACUAAUUCUCUUCUGUAGCAUUUCGCGGGCGGUCUGAUGAUUAUACAGUGUCUCAGCUUCAUGACUUUGUCUGCAAGUUGUUUUCCAGGGAAAAAGGUUGUAUGGUUACCUUCACUGUCAUUUCUUCUUGUGGUGUUUAGAUAUGAAUCUCUUGUUUACUGUUGCCAAGCAUAAUGCACCAGUGUGCAUAUUAUCUCCACUUGUAGGUUGUAGCUGUACAUGCUAACCAUGCUUCCAUUCCCUU
rnacentral:lncRNA from 1 species